ensembl:snRNA U6 U6 spliceosomal RNA
GUGCUUGCUUCAGCAGCACAUAUACUAUAACUGGAAUGAUACAGAGUAGGUUAGCAUGGCCCCUGUUCAGGGAUGACACGCAAAUUCAUGAAGCAUUCCAUAUUUCC